rnacentral:rRNA from 1 species
UACGGGGGGGGCAAGCGUUGUUCGGAAUUACUGGGCGUAAAGGGUCUGUAGGUGGCUUGCUAAGUCAGACGUGAAAUCCCUCAGCUUAACUGGGGAACUGCGUCUGAGACUGGCCGGCUUGAGUGCAGGAGAGGAACGCGGAAUUCCAGGUGUAGCGGUGAAAUGCGUAGAUAUCUGGAGGAACACCGGUGGCGAAGGCGGCGUUCUGGACUGCAACUGACACUGAGGAACGAAAGCCAGGGGAGCAAACGGG